UUUCACUGACCAAGCAGGACA
rnacentral:misc_RNA from 1 species